rnacentral:lncRNA from 1 species
AGAAUAAAAGAUAAUAUUUUCCCAGGCAGAAGAAAAAGGACAAACAGAAACAUCUCUAGCAGAACGAGUGGAACGAGAAAGUUCAAUGACCCAAGCAGACAGAGUGGACCGAUGCUAUCCGACCGAACAGAGAUCACCCGAGGGGGAGUGCCCCGAGGCGAGUAAGAGUCCCAAGCCGGAGCCAAGCAAGGAAAGAAAAGAGAUAGUUUCAAAUCCCAACC